CUAUUCAUACUUCCGAGUUAUUUCUUAGAAUGUAUGUUUACCAAAGUUUCGUUUAUAUGAACGUAUUUUUGUGCAACCAAGUUUACGAAUUAUUUUGGGAAGUUAAGUUUCAGAGAAAAACCUUCAGAAAAAUGUAACUUUGGAAAAUAGCACGUGGAGAGAGACAUAUUCGGACUUUGUAUAGGUUCCCAACUCUCUCAUACUUAAUUUUUUUUGCAUUUGGGUAAGUUACCCAUCCUCACAAAUGCAUUUUAAAAAAAUGUUCGCACCUAACUAACUAAUUAUCAAGCACAUACGGUGGAUUUGCCAAGAAUGGUAGAACUAGGGUCGGCAGAAUCGCGCCGUCAGCUCCGGUUUCAGUGGGUGUUCGUAGGUCGACCUUAUUAGGGUCCCAUGUCAACAUGGAACUAUAACCUUAUAAAUUAAAUCCCAACGAUUCUCUUAAUAUAUGUAAAAUUGAUACGGUGCCAUGAUUCAGGGUACCGUUUUGCUGAUCCAUUGGCGUCGUACAGAGCUCUCCCAAGUGAAGCGACCCCCACACUUGCACGUCAAAACUAAAGGACCGUUACUGAAUACAAAGAACAUCGUACGUUGUGCUUUGUAUUAUACAUGUAUAUAUUUCUAUAUGAGUCGCACACACUCAUUUUAAUUAAAUUUAUCGUGUGGCAAUACUAUUUUUACGCUCGAGUAAAACAGACAUGUACAUAUUAAAAGAUCAAUGUACAAGAUUCUUCGUUUUUGGCGACGGCCCUUCAUGUCUAUCAACUAAGUUUGAUAGUAUUCUCGUACUCUCUGAGACUCUUACGUUUAGCCGUGUCAUGCACGAGUUCACUUGACUUGUCAUUUCGCAGAAUAUGGUAUGCAACUCAUAUGGCGAUAAUCUAAUAAGUCAGGUGUAAUAUUACCGAGUCGACCCUGUGUCUUAGCUAAUAUGUUACGUAUUAUAUUUUUGCGAUUUACGAGAAAUUUCUUGCGAUAUAGAAGAUUUAUUGUAUUAAAGUAGCGAAUAUGCAGUUAUUAGUUAGGAAAUUUAUCGAACUUCGAUUUAGCACACCGUUUUCUCCGCUUAAAAUAUGCAUACAAUAGUACGUUUUUAACAAAAACUCCACAAAACUUUAACGGCAUACAGCCAAGCGCCCUCUGCAUAGCGCGGAUUGCUGGGACCUAAUUAUUGAAACUCGUUGGCGGUCGGUCUCUUACGGCGCAUGCAUACAUUCACAAUACUGUUACAUACAACGACGUAUAGGCGCCUACUCGCUUUAGGCGGCCUACCCGCUUUUGGCCUGGUUACCCUAUUAGAUUUAUAAUUAAUGAGAAUAUGUAUUUUGAAGCAUAAGACUGUACGUCCUCCGCUUCAAUAAAUAUGACUUGUCUCUAAUUUGAAUUGUUUAUGUUUAUCAAAUUAGGUAUAGACACUGAACUCACACUCAUAAGUGUCACCUUAGAUUACGUCCAUUUGAUACGGAUCUCGAGUUCUAGUUACACUGUAUGAAUGAGUCAAAGUAUUUGUAAAACAAAUAUGAUUUAUUUAAUAUUGUAUAGGCUUCGACUCAGGAUCGACUUCGCAAUGUAAACGUGGCUUUAUAACGACUACGCUAUUUUGUAGGCGUAAUAUACUUUUGGACUAUUUAUUAUGUAUUGUUAAUUACUAUGUAUGUUGUAUUAAGAUAAAAAAUGAAAACAAAAAAUAAAUGUUAAUAAAUGCCUCAGCAAGU